ensembl:snoRNA LOC120095412 small nucleolar RNA SNORA15
GCCUGAAUACUGUGUUUUUUAGUCAGUAAUUUACACAGCCAGACACCAUGCAAAAGUAAAGGCUUCCUUUAAGAUGGCUGAUCACGCUAUAUUUUAUGGUAUAUCAUUAUUAAAAGUGAAUAUAAAG